GCAGUCGUGGCCGAGUGGUUAAGGCAAUGGACUAGAAAUCCAUUGGGGUCUCCCCGCACAGGUUAUAAUCCUGUCGACUGCG
rfam:Ixodes scapularis strain Wikel colony gcontig_1107728777134, whole genome shotgun sequence.